rnacentral:tRNA from 1 species
UCCCUGGUGGCUCAGAGGUUAAAGCGUCUGCCUGCGAUGCGGGAGACCCGGGUUCAAUCACUGGGUAGGGAA